rnacentral:rRNA from 1 species
AAUGAACGCUGGCGGCAGGCCUAACACAUGCAAGUCGAACGAAGCCUUCGGGUUUAGUGGCGGACGGGUGAGUAACGCGUGGGAACAUGCCCAAAGGUACGGAAUAGCCCUGGGAAACUGGGAGUAAUACCGUAUGUGCCCUUCGGGGGAAAGAUUUAUCGCCUUUGGAUUGGCCCGCGUUGGAUUAGGUAGUUGGUGGGGUAAUGGCCUGCCAAGCCGACGAUCCAUAGCUGGUUUGAGAGGAUGAUCAGCCACACUGGGACUGAGACACGGCCCAGACUCCUACGGGAGGCAGCAGUGGGGAAUCUUAGACAAUGGGGGAAACCCUGAUCUAGCCAUGCCGCGUGAUCGAUGAAGGCCUUAGGGUUGUAAAAGAUCUUUCAGAUGGGAAGAUAAUGACGGUACCAUCAGAAGAAGCCCCCGGCUAACUCCGUGCCAGCAGCCGCGGU